UGGGGAAUAUUGGACAAUGGGCGAAAGCCUGAUCCAGCCAUGCCGCGUGUGUGAAGAAGGUCUUCGGAUUGUAAAGCACUUUAAGUUGGGAGGAAGGGCAGUAAGCUAAUACCUUGCUGUUUUGACGUUACCGACAGAAUAAGCACCGGCUAACUCUGUGCCAGCAGCCGCGGUAAUACAGAGGGUGCAAGCGUUAAUCGGAAUUACUGGGCGUAAAGCGCGCGUAGGUGGUUCGUUAAGUUGGAUGUGAAAUCCCCGGGCUCAACCUGGGAACUGCAUCCAAAACUGGCGAGCUAGAGUAUGGUAGAGGGUGGUGGAAUUUCCUGUGUAGCGGUGAAAUGCGUAGAUAUAGGAAGGAACACCAGUGGCGAAGGCGACCACCUGGACUGAUACUGACACUGAGGUGCGAAAGCGUGGGGAGCAAACAGG
rnacentral:rRNA from 3 species